rnacentral:lncRNA from 1 species
CAACAAAAAUAAUGGAAGAAAGACAAAGUGCGACUUAUCUAGAUGUAGGAGUCUAGCAUACCUCUUUGUCGGAAACUAGAGCCCAACUCCAACUUUCUGGAAUCAGUUGAAAGCAAAAACUUACAAACUAUGUCACAAGUGACCCUCCAAUUCUCUAAUGCAGAGUCGGAGGGACAAAUCAAAGGAAUGACCAAACCCUGCUCAAUCGAAGCAGGGGUUGGUUCCAAGUUGACAACUCCAGCUCGGGUGGGUGACUGAUGUGGGCCCCCUUCCUCUUGAGGGUUUGGUGGUG